rnacentral:rRNA from 1 species
AUUGAACGCUGGCGGCAGGCCUAACACAUGCAAGUCGAGCGGAUGAAGGGAGCUUGCUCCUGGAUUCAGCGGCGGACGGGUGAGUAAUGCCUAGGAAUCUGCCUGGUAGUGGGGGAUAACGUCCGGAAACGGGCGCUAAUACCGCAUACGUCCUGAGGGAGAAAGUGGGGGAUCUUCGGACCUCACGCUAUCAGAUGAGCCUAGGUCGGAUUAGCUAGUUGGUGGGGUAAAGGCCUACCAAGGCGACGAUCCGUAACUGGUCUGAGAGGAUGAUCAGUCACACUGGAAACUGGAAACGGGCCAGAAUCCCACGGGAAGGAGGAGUUGGGAAAUUUUGGCAAUGGGGGAAAGCCUGACCCAGCACAGGCGCGGUGGGGAAAAAGGGUUUUGGAUUGGAAAACCCUUUUAAGUGGGAAGAAAGGGAGGUAAAUUAAUAACUUACUUUUUGAAGGUACCCAACAAAAAAGCCACCGCUAAACUUGUG